AUGCCAAGUGACAAGGCUCUGGGGCCGGAUGGUUUCACGGGCCUCUUCUUCAAGAAGUGUUGGGACAUUAUCAAGCACGACCUCAUGAGGGUUAUCACGCGCUUUGACUCCCUACACACUGCAAACCUCCAGUGGCUAAACUCUGCAAACGUGGUGCUCCUGCCUAAGAAGGAAGGGGCGGAGGGCAUCGCCGAUUAUAGGCCCAUCAGUCUCAUCCACGCAAUCGCGAAAAUUAUCGCGAAGGUGCUCUCCAUGAGGCUCGGCCCACACAUGACAAACCUCGUCUCCAACGCCCAAAGUGCCUUCAUCAAAACAAGAAGUAUCCAUGACAACUUUUUGUAUGUUCGCAAUCUCGCUCGGCGCCUCCACAAGAAGAAGACACCUUCCCUCCUUUUCAAGCUUGAUAUUCGCAAGGCCUUCGACUCUGUUAAGUGGGAGUAUUUGCUUGAUCUUCUCCAACGGCGAGGCUUCCCAAGUAAAUUCCGGGAC
rnacentral:rRNA from 1 species